ACGAUUUUUAACCAAAAGGUCGAAUCCGAUUCAGGGCCAGCUGGUGGCAAUUGGUGCCGGCUAUUGUUACGCUCAGGGGCCGAGGGUUGAUUAGGUUUGGCCUGAAUCAGGGGAAAACGAUACGUAACUUAAUCUCUAAUUGGGCGCCAAGGUCCUCCGGCAAAACGGUGGUGGGAAGUGCUUGGACCUAAAGCACUUCUCGAGCCGACCUGAACUAUCGGGUAAAAAAAGAAAUGUGGGUGUGAGUUGUAUAUUGAGAAAAAGGAAAAAAAAAAAUAAUCAAUUAAUUAUAAUUAAGUAAAUAGUAAACGCCAGCACAGCAGCGUCUGACAAGGUGAAAUUUAAAUUAAGUACUUGCAAUCUUAUUCCGACUCGCCGCCACUGUAAUCGGUACGACUACCAUUACUACGCUUCCACCAUAGGCCGUUUGAUCAAACUCCGCAGGCGCAAUUCGCGUAAGUCCUAGACGAAUACGUACGCACCCGAUUACAUUACAGAGCGGACAACAAAAAAAAGAAACUUGCUUAACUAAAUUAUCAAUAGAAUUACUGCCACGAUGUCAACUACAUCAACUGCGUGAUACGCUCUGACCUUGUUCCUUAUCGGCGAAGUCUGACGACAGUCUCGAAGUGGCAAAUGCAAAUCCAGGCUGCUCCGGGGGGUGCAAAGUGUCGAACGGACAGCGAUCUCCAAUUCACGGCGUCGAAGAACCAGGGGGGUCAACAGGGACCAGAUUCGCAGGCGAAAAUCACGUAGUGAUAAGCAAUACAGCAGUCAGAAGAUAAGACAAAAGAAAAAGGAAAAAAAGGGUCCUGCAAGGAGGAAAAAAAACAGUUGUAGCGUAAUGAAAUCGAAAUAGUCUGGUCUUACUCUGGUGGCAGGCGACCCUAAUGUGUUUGGCACGCAGCUAGGCCCCAAAAUCCGGAACAAAUCCGAAGACUGGCCGGAACCUUCACAAAUGUCCCUCAGGACGUCGUUCCUGGACCGAGUCUAACUGGGCGGUGCUUGCCCGGACAAUCCCAUCCACUGGCGAGCGCAAAUUGCUCAAAAUUCCUGGACAGCACCAGCACUCCCGCACGUGGCAAAAAUUUUCCAACCAAAGAGACUAAUGGCGACUCAAAAACGGAUGUUAAAAAACCCUAUCACGGCUUCUCGAAGGUUUUUCCUUGAAGGGGGAGAAAGGCGGGAAAUUUCCGCCAUAAAGGCUAUGAUGAAAAAGGGCUAACUAUUUCAAAUUUGACACAUAGUUCAACUUCCGCUGCUUUGCUCCUGCGUACAACCUCUGUCAAGUUUUUGACAUUCGGUUAACCUCCUAAUCCAAGUAUCAACAGCAAUACACGCGCCAAAAUAACGCAAAUCGAAUUUCAAAACGAUAGGAGUAGCAAGGCAAAGAGGGAGAAAAGCCACCCCCAACAUCGGGUGAGUCGUAUUUACAAUGCAAACAGAAAUGGCCUUCGAGCUCUUCGUAGGCCAACAACCCUUGCCCGUCAACUACGCUUCCCUCCUACAGGAUAAAGUUCAGGGCUUAAUUUAAGGAACUCAGGACCCGCUCACAUAAAAUCUUAUCACCUCUCUAGGGCAGAGCGUUCCGAAACCAGCUAUGUAUUACUGGUUGCCUUCUUACAGGCGCGCUUUACCGUACAUGAAGAGGCGAAGGAGAGAAGAAAUGUGGCUUAUCACGGAAUUCAAAACUCAACCGUGACAGGUUCAACGGCUGUGAUGUUCAUAAUUGUUAAUUCGUUUCCUAUCAUGAAUGGACAAGUGCACUCCACCCCAGAUCAAAUACCCUAUGAUUGUCUUAAAUUAUUAUAUAAUUCUGGCACCCAAUUACGUAGGUCGUCUCUUAGAACAUACAAAUUAUCUUGUGAUGGGUUGUCUAUAAUCUCGUGGGUUGAUAACGUAAACUGUGCUUUAUUUUCAUUUUCGCGAAUACGUUUGGCUAAUUCGCUUAUAUUGUUCUACGAAGAUCAUAAGAAAUUCAUCAGCCUAGAAGUGGAAUGGGUGUAUGAAGCCCCUCAUAAACUCGCAAAAUAUGAAGAUGUGCAGAAAAUCCUCAUUAUUUUGAAGAAACGCCUUUACAUCCACAAAAAAUUGGAAUCUGGUGUGCCACUUUCUUCGAGGAGUCUGUUACACCUACCAGAUCUGCGAGAUAUCAAAACAUGCUGCAGGAAUUUAUUGACCAGUUUGAUCCUGAAGAAUUGCAAAAUUCAGCAUGACGAUGCAACAGCUCAUACAGGCCAUAUCUACCCACCUCAACCAUCAGAUUUGGCACUUUUAGAUUUCUUCUUGUUUCAGACUUUGUAAAACACUAUUUUCAGCAAUCAGUGGAUACAAUUAAAGGCCUAACUGUGAAAAUUAUAAAAGAGUGUGAAAAUGUUACACCCGACAUUCAAUUAAAUAUGUUACUUAUCAUAAAUAAAUGAUUUUAAAUCCAA